CCAGACUCCUACGGGAGGCAGCAGUGGGGAAUAUUGCACAAUGGGGGAAACCCUGAUGCAGCGACGCCGCGUGAGUGAAGAAGUAUUUCGGUAUGUAAAGCUCUAUCAGCAGGGAAGAAAAUGACGGUACCUGAUUAAGAAGCCCCGGCUAACUACGUGCCAGCAGCCGCGGUAAUACGUAGGGGGCAAGCGUUAUCCGGAUUUACUGGGUGUAAAGGGAGCGUAGACGGCAGCACAGGUCUGGAGUGAAAUGCCGGGGCUUAACCCCGGAACUGCUUUGGAAACUGUGCAGCUAGAGUGCAGGAGAGGUAAGUGGAAUUCCUAGUGUAGCGGUGAAAUGCGUAGAUAUAUGGAAGAACACCAGUGGCGAAGGCGGCCGCCUGGACUGUUACUGACGCUCAGGCACGAAAGCGUGGGGAGCAAAUAGGAUUAGAUACCCCAGUAC
rnacentral:rRNA from 1 species